ACUAACAAGGAUCCCCUAGUAACUGCGAGUGAAGCGGGAAAAGCUCAAAUUUAAAAUCUGGCGGUCUUUGGUCGUCCGAGUUGUAAUCUAGAGAAGUAAUGCCCGUGCUGGACCGUGUAUAAGUCUCCUGGGAUGGGGCGUCAUAGAGGGUGAGAAUCCCGUCUUUGACACGGACUACCAGUGCAUUGUGGUAUGCUCUCAAAGAGUCGAGUUGUUUGGGAAUGCAGCUCAAAAUGGGUGGUAAAUUCCAUCUAAAGCUAAAUAUUGGCGAGAGACCGAUAGCGAACAAGUACCGUGAGGGAAAGAUGAAAAGAACUUUGGAAAGAGAGUUAAACAGUACGUGAAAUUGCUGAAAGGGAAACGCUUGAAGUCAGUCGCGUUGGCCGGGGAUCAGCCUUGCUUUUGCAUGGUGUACUUUCUGGUUGACGGGUCAGCAUCAAUUUUGACCGCUGGAAAAGGGCCUGGGGAAUGUGGCAGCUUCGGCUGUGUUAUAGCCCCUGGUCACAUACGGCGGUUGGGAUUGAGGAACUCAGCACGCCGCAAGGCCGGGUUUCGACCACGUUCGUGCUUAGGAUGCUGGCAUAAUGGCUUUAAGCGACCCGUCUUGAAACACGGACCAAGGAGUCUAACAUGCCUGCGAGUAUUUGGGUGAAAAACCCGAGUGCGCAAUGAAAGUGAAAGUUGAGAUCCCUGUCGUGGGGAGCAUCGACGCCCGGACCAGAACUUUUGGGACGGAUCCGCGGUGGAGCAUGUAUGUUGGGACCCGAAAGAUGGUGAACUAUGCCUGAAUAGGGUGAAGCCAGAGGAAACU
rnacentral:rRNA from 1 species